GGGCGUGUAGCUCAUCUGGUAGAGCGUUCGCUUAGCAUGGUUCCGUAUCGAAUAUGAGGCAUGCGAAAGGUACUGGGUUCGAUUCCCAGCUCGUCCA